UACUUCCAAUCUCUUGACUGGAUCUUUCCAACAACCUUGGGAGGUGGCCUUCACUGUGUCUGGCCUUUCGAUAAGAUUCCCUUUCACAUCCACAAGAGGGAAGGAAAGAAAGAAACUAUUGGAACCAAAUACUGAAAUCAUGGAUUAAAGAUGAAGACUGUGAACGAAUAAAGCUAAUGCUUUAAAGUUGA